GCAGGGUUGUGCUGUAUGGUGUGACCUCAGGGAGCAGAGCAGCCUUCCAGAAGCACGGUCAUGGACGUGUGCCCAGUAGGGCUCUCUAGAAAAAUUCUGCCUGGCCAGGAGCAAGAGGGUGGCCCCACCAGCUGGUGCUGCACCCAGGAAGCCUGAGCUGACAGUACUAAGGCACAGAGCAUUUCUCUUGGAACACUAGCAUUGCAGCUGGAUUUCCCUGGGUGUCGGAAGCAUGGCAGAAAACAUUUCAACAGAGAACAUGGAAGACAUAGAUUGAGGAGCUGUUUGGCGAGAGGAUUGCAGAAAAGUCCAAAGCACUGCUUUCCAGCAUGCAACGGGGCAGCAGGCAGGCUCACCGUCUUCCCUCACCAGUGUGGAGGAGCAGGACUUAGCUACACCAGAGGGUGAUAAUCAGGUAUACCAACCUGGAGCCUGGAAACCUGCCAGUCUCACCCAAACUGACAUAUGGCCCUAUGGACAAAAGUGGGCACCUGCCCACUAGAACCUCUCUCUGGUAACUGAGGCUUCAGUAGGCUGGAUGCUUAGUACCAUUCAGGAGCAUGAUGGGUGAGACAAGGCUAUGAUACAUCUGGAGCUGCCACAUUAACCUGAACAACACUGGCCUCCAGAGACUCUGACAAGCCCUGUCCAUGUUCUGUGAGGCAUCUGUGAUCCAAGGAGAUCCUGAACCCUGAUGGGGCAGCCCCAACAACCCAUGGAUGGUCCUGACUCAUCCCUACAAAUGGAGAGCUCCUAAUUUUUGGAGGUCCCCCCACUUCAAAUCUCCAUCUCCUCUGGGAUUUGAAGAUCUGAAGGAGCCAGGGAAGCAAAGAAGACACAGCUGCUGGCUUUGCCCCAGAGACCUGCUCUAGCUGGGGCAGGAGGAGCCUGAGAGACUCAUCCUCAUGCAAAUGAGGGAGAAGAGCAAGCCUGGAUGGCCUGUUUUCUGAGCUCUGACCUCAGUUUGCUGGGAAACCCAGAUCCAGAUGUAGAACCCUACACCUCCUCUAGCACCGUGUCUGUCUGCCUGUGUGCCACCAUGUUGAUAAUGGACUAAACCUCUGAAACUGCCAUCACUCUCCUACCUACCCAACAGAGUACAGCAGCCAUCUGCUUUGAGAGACCAGGGGAACCCCCUCUGCCUUUAACCUGUCCAUCUGACUGCACCAGCCUCUCCUACUCUGAGCUGCCCAGUUCCUGGCAUCCACCUUCUGACAUGCCCUGCUAUCUGACCUGUGGUCAUUCCAAGGCCAGAUUCUUCAGCCCUGGUCUGGGGAAUCUUUCAAGCACCCAGUUUCAGCCAGAACCCACUGGUAUAUGUACCAGAAGACAACUCCAAGUGAAGAAAAUUGCUGGGGCUGAGGGAAGAGCUCAUAGAAGCUGCAUUGCAUCCCAGAGACUCACAAGCCGGGAGGAAGUCUACUGGGCCUGGCUCCUCAAGGACAUCAGGAGACCACAGCCACUCAACAAACACCUACUCAGAUGGGGGGCAGGUGGAGCACAGAGGAGGAUCUAACCCCAGGAUGCUCCACUGGCAGGGAAGACAUGCUACUGAGAUUGGUGAACUGCCUACCAGGAAUCUGGAAGCACAAAGUGAGGGUCAACCCUCCAGCCAUCCUUCUCUUUCCCACUCUGGACUAGAACUUGAUUAGAAGCUGAAAAGGACGGGCUGCCAGGACAGAGAGCUAAGGGCAUCAGGGAAGGGAAUGAUUUGGCAGGGAAUAUGGAGAACCUAUAGCUUUGGGACUCGUAGAGGCCUGUGAUGACCUGGGAACCUGGAUGAGGGCCCCACGAGCCCUCAGGAAGGCCUCAGGUAGGGAGUGGUUAGGACUACUGGAAGAGGAGGCCUUAAGGCCCUUUGGGUCUCUGGUUGUGACAGGUCCCAGCCCUACCCUAUUGUACCCAGCCCUUACUAAAUGAUCAUGAAACUCCUCCUUCCUGUGAUCAUCCAUAGUAGGCUUGAGUCCCUACUAUGCAGGAGUCUGGUCAUUUCUGGACACCCUUACAUGGCCCAGCUGAUUCCUCUGCAGGGUCUGAGUAUGCUGUCUGCUCCAGAAGUCUGCUGGGCCUGAAGUCUACUCUCAAAGCAGCAUCUAAGGGGAUUCUUACAGGGUUCAAUUCCUGCUGGGGCUGAUAUGAUUCCAUUUGGCUACUUAGCUAAGUACAGGGACAAGACAAGUGACUGAGAAGCUCAAUAUGUCCAAUCUCCCAGGCUUUAUGGAUAGUACUGACCUCUGCUUAGAGGGUGGAGUCACCAUUUUUGGGAGGGGCAAGAGGCCACCUAAGGAAAGAGAUGGUGCCGGCCAUCCCAUCUGAGGGUCCAUGCCUGCCCUCGCAGUCCAUCGUCCUGAGUGUCUGCAGCAUCUGCCUGUUGGAACUCAUGUCUGGCUCCCUAUCUAUAUGUGGUUCCUUUUGCCUGGGCUUUUCCAUGGGCCUGUGUUUUCAAAGUCCUUGGCUCCUCAAACCCAGCCUCCCUAGCCCUUCCAUGUGUGCUAUGACUCCUGCUCUAAGUCUCUGUCCUUAGUUUCCAGUCUUGGCAUCUAAUGGAUCUAUAACCAUGGCCAUUCAGGAGCCCUGGGGCACCCGUGGUAGGAUCAAGUGUGAGAUGGAGUACAGGGAGUAUGACACUGGUUGUGGGGUGAUGCCUGGGCACUGAGGAAUGCUCCUCUACCCCAACAGGAAGACACAGCCUGCUCUCAAAUAUCAGUGAUGGUAGGUGGACGGUGCAUGAUUCUCCUGGGAGGACAACGGCCGCACACUGGGAGGGUUCAGUGGGCAAGCAAGAGACUCUAGAGUCCCAAGUGAGUGUCUGGUUUGAAUAAGAAUUCCCCCUUCCCCACCCCACCCCCAUCGGCUCCUAUGUUUGAAUGCUUAGGGCAUGGCACUAUUUGAAAGGAUUAGGAAGUGUGGCUUUGUUGGAGGAAGUAGUCUAUGAGAGUGAGCUUUGUGGUUUCAAGAGCCCAAGCUAAGUCCUGUGGCUUUCUCUUCCUGCUGCCUGUGGAUCUGAAUGGAGACCUCUCAGCUCCUUCUUUAGCAUCAUGUCUGCCUGUGAGCCACCAUACUUCCUG